rnacentral:rRNA from 1 species
AAGAACGCUGGCGGCAUGCCUAACACAUGCAAGUCGAACGAAUAAGCACCUAGUUUACUAGGGAAGCUGUUAGUGGCAAACGGGUGAGUAACACGUAGGAAUCUACCUUACAGUACGGAAUAACAAUUGGAAACGAUUGCUAAUACCGUAUACACUCUUCGGAGGAAAGAUUUAUCGCUGUAAGAUGAGCCUGCGCUAGAUUAGAUAGUUGGUGGGGUAAUGGCCUACCAAGUCUACGAUCUAUAGCUGGUCUGAGAGGACGAUCAGCCACACUGGAACUUAGACACGGUCCAGACUCCUACGGGAGGCAGCAGUGGGGAAUAUUGGACAAUGGGCGAAAGCCUGAUCCAGCAAUGCCGCGUGAAUGAUGAAGGCCUUAGGGUUGUAAAGUUCUUUUAGUGGGGAAGAUAAUGACGGUACCCACAGAAAAAGCUCCGGCUAACUCCGU